rnacentral:rRNA from 1 species
GGUUAAGCGAACAAGCGUACACGGUGGAUGCCCUGGCAGUCAGAGGCGAUGAAGGACGUGCUAAUCUGCGAAAAGCGCCGGUAAGGUGAUAUGAACCGUUAUAACCGGCGAUGUCCGAAUGGGGAAACCCGGUGCACUUCGGUGCAUCAUCGUUAGCUGAAUACAUAGGCUAACGAGGCGAACCGGGGGAACUGAAACAUCUAAGUACCCCGAGGAAAAGAAAUCAACCGAGAUUCCCCCAGUAGCGGCGAGCGAACGGGGAACAGCCCAGAGCCUGAAUCAGCUUGUGUGUCAGUGGAACGGUCUGGAAAGGCCGGCGAUACAGGGUGACAGCCCCGUACACGAAGGCACACAGGCUGUGAGCUCGAUGAGUAGGGCGGGACACGUGAUAUCCUGUCUGAAGAUGGGGGGACCAUCCUCCAAGGCUAAAUACUCCUGACUGACCGAUAGUGAACCAGUACCGUGAGGGAAAGGCGAAAAGAACCCCGGCGAGGGGAGUGAAACAGAACCUGAAACCGUGUACGUACAAGCAGUGGGAGCCUUCGUAAGAGGGUGACUGCGUACCUUUUGUAUAAUGGGUCAGCGACUUAUAUUCUGUAGCAAGGUUAACCGUAUAGGGGAGCCGAAGGGAAACCGAGUCUUAAUUGGGCGUUAAGUUGCAGGGUAUAGACCCGAAACCCGGUGAUCUAGCCAUGGGCAGGUUGAAGGUUGGGUAACACUAACUGGAGGACCGAACCGACUAAUGUUGAAAAAUUAGCGGAUGACCUGUGGCUGGGGGUGAAAGGCCAAUCAAACCGGGAGAUAGCUGGUUCUCCCCGAAAGCUAUUUAGGUAGCGCCUCGUGAACUCAUCUCCGGGGGUAGAGCACUGUUUCGGCUAGGGGGCCAUCCCGGCUUACCAACCCGAUGCAAACUGCGAAUACCGGAGAAUGUUAUCACGGGAGACACACGGCGGGUGCUAACGUCCGUCGUGAAGAGGGAAACAACCCAGACCGCCAGCUAAGGUCCCAAAGUCAUGGUUAAGUGGGAAACGAUGUGGGAAGGCCCAGACAGCCAGGAUGUUGGCUUAGAAGCAGCCAUCAUUUAAAGAAAGCGUAAUAGCUCACUGGUCGAGUCGGCCUGCGCGGAAGAUGUAACGGGGCUAAACCAUGCACCGAAGCUGCGGCAGCGACACUAUGUGUUGUUGGGUAGGGGAGCGUUCUGUAAGCCUGUGAAGGUGUGCUGUGAGGCAUGCUGGAGGUAUCAGAAGUGCGAAUGCUGACAUAAGUAACGAUAAAGCGGGUGAAAAGCCCGCUCGCCGGAAGACCAAGGGUUCCUGUCCAACGUUAAUCGGGGCAGGGUGAGUCGACCCCUAAGGCGAGGCCGAAAGGCGUAGUCGAUGGGAAACAGGUUAAUAUUCCUGUACUUGGUGUUACUGCGAAGGGGGGACGGAGAAGGCUAUGUCGGCCGGGCGACGGUUGUCCCGGUUUAAGCGUGUAGGCUGACUUUCCAGGCAAAUCCGGAAAGUUAAGGCUGAGGCGUGAUGACGAGGCACCACGGUGCUGAAGUGACAAAUGCCCUGCUUCCAGGAAAAGCCUCUAAGCAUCAGGUAACAUCAAAUCGUACCCCAAACCGACACAGGUGGUCAGGUAGAGAAUACCAAGGCGCUUGAGAGAACUCGGGUGAAGGAACUAGGCAAAAUGGUGCCGUAACUUCGGGAGAAGGCACGCUGACAUGUAGGUGAAGCCCCUGCGGGUGGAGCUGAAGUCAGUCGAAGAUACCAGCUGGCUGCAACUGUUUAUUAAAAACACAGCACUGUGCAAACACGAAAGUGGACGUAUACGGUGUGACGCCUGCCCGGUGCCGGAAGGUUAAUUGAUGGGGUUAUCGCAAGAGAAGCUCCUGAUCGAAGCCCCGGUAAACGGCGGCCGUAACUAUAACGGUCCUAAGGUAGCGAAAUUCCUUGUCGGGUAAGUUCCGACCUGCACGAAUGGCGUAAUGAUGGCCAGGCUGUCUCCACCCGAGACUCAGUGAAAUUGAACUCGCUGUGAAGAUGCAGUGUACCCGCGGCAAGACGGAAAGACCCCGUGAACCUUUACUACAGCUUGACACUGAACAUUGAGCCUUGAUGUGUAGGAUAGGUGGGAGGCUUUGAAGCGUGGACGCCAGUCUGCGUGGAGCCGACCUUGAAAUACCACCCUUUAAUGUUUGAUGUUCUAACCUGGCGCCGUGAUCCGGCGUGGGGACAGUGUCUGGUGGGUAGUUUGACUGGGGCGGUCUCCUCCCAAAGUGUAACGGAGGAGCACGAAGGUCAGCUAAUCCUGGUCGGACAUCAGGAGGUUAGUGCAAUGGCAUAAGCUGGCUUGACUGCGAGAGUGACGGCUCGAGCAGGUGCGAAAGCAGGUCAUAGUGAUCCGGUGGUUCUGUAUGGAAGGGCCAUCGCUCAACGGAUAAAAGGUACUCCGGGGAUAACAGGCUGAUACCGCCCAAGAGUUCAUAUCGACGGCGGUGUUUGGCACCUCGAUGUCGGCUCAUCACAUCCUGGGGCUGAAGUAGGUCCCAAGGGUAUGGCUGUUCGCCAUUUAAAGUGGUACGCGAGCUGGGUUUAGAACGUCGUGAGACAGUUCGGUCCCUAUCUGCCGUGGGCGCUGGAGAAUUGAGGGGGGCUGCUCCCAGUACGAGAGGACCGGAGUGGACGCAUCACUGGUGUUCGGGUUGUCAUGCCAAUGGCACUGCCCGGUAGCUAAAUGCGGAAGAGAUAAGUGCUGAAAGCAUCUAAGCACGAAACUUGCCCCGAGAUGAGUUCUCCCUGAGACUAUGAGUCUCCUGAAGGAACGUUGAAGACGACGACGUUGAUAGGCCGGGUGUGUAAGCGCAGCGAUGCGUUGAGCUAACCGGUACUAAUGAACCGUGAGGCUUAACCUU